GACGAACGCUGGCGGCGUGCUUAACACAUGCAAGUCGAGCGGUAAGGCCCUUUCGGGGGUACACGAGCGGCGAACGGGUGAGUAACACGNGGGUGACCUGCCCUCAGCUCUGGGAUAAGCCCGGGAAACUGGGUCUAAUACCGGAUAUGACUCCAUGACGCAUGUUGUGGGGUGGAAAGCCUUGUGCGGCUGAGGAUGGGCCCGCGGCCUAUCAGCUUGUUGGUGGGGUGAUGGCCUACCAAGGCGACGACGGGUAGCCGGCCUGAGAGGGCGACCGGCCACACUGGGACUGAGAUACGGCCCAGACUCCUACGGGAGGCAGCAGUGGGGAAUCUUGCGCAAUGGGCGAAAGCCUGACGCAGCGACGCCGCGUGAGGGAUGACGGCCUGUGU
rnacentral:rRNA from 1 species